GGGUCUGUAGCUCAGUUGGUUAGAGCUAGCCGCUCAUAACGGCUCGGUCGUAGGUUCGAGUCCUACCAGACCCACCA
rnacentral:tRNA from 2 species